GUCUACGGCCAUGCUACCCUGAACAAGCCUGAUCCCAUCUGAUCUCAGAAGCUAAGCAGGGUCGGGCCCGGUUAGUACUUGGAUGAGAGACCACCUAAGAAGAUCAGGUGCUGUAGGAG
rnacentral:rRNA from 1 species